AGCUGUCAAUUAUUGUUCUUCAAUAGGUUUGUUUUUAUUUAAUGAAAUUGAUUCCAAACAGUCUUAGUGGCAGUUAAAUGAAAAGUGAUAGAGAUAAAAAUGUAAAAUCGUAUUAAACCGUGUCUGUUUUUCUUUUAAAGCAUUUAAAAGUGCCAUCAUUUGUUAACCUAAAAUUUACAAUGCCGACAAAUAACAAGUUGUGUUUGUAAUAAUGGAUUCUUCGAAUGAGGCAGCGUCUGUUCGAAAUCCUAUUAAAGAAGGACGUGAGAAAGAGGAAAGUAAGGAUAAUAAAGGUAUAGAUAGGCCGGUGAGCCAAUUCGUUGGGAUUGAAAAUGUGUUUACAUCAAUGUCACAAGAACGAAGUUCUAGUUUUGCCCCAGUAAAUGGUUCUCGACCUUGGUCGAAUGAUGAUUCUGAACAAAGGGUUAACCGAACAAAGGAAAGUAAUUUAGUAAAUGACACCAUUGGAAAUACAUUUGACGAUAAUCAAAAGCAAAUGGCCAGUAAUGAAACAAAUAAGAAAAUGCACAGUAUUGAAAGUCCAAGUAAAGUUGAAUCAGCUUGUGAUAAAACACUCGAUUCCAACAGUGAGAAAGCAUGUCAGAGAUACAAGAUGUAUGCAGAUAAAUUAGGCAACACUAGCUGUGUGAAUGGUCCUUCAACAAGUGGCAUAAAUAAUUCCUUUGAUAAUACUGAAAGUGGUAGCAUUCGAGAAAAUAGAAAACGGCCUUCAACCCUCAAGCUAGAUAGACCAAACAUAGAUGACAAUGAUAGUUCAAGUGACACUGGUAAUGAUGAUUACUCAUUGGGUUCUGAAGAUGGCUGUAUUUACACAUACAGGGGAGGUGAACACUUGGCAGACUUACCAAGUUCCUUUUUUAGCCUUGACAUGGGCUUGCCCUUAGAUAGGCAUCUCCCAUUGCUUCCUAAUUAUCCAGUCCCUCAGCAGGGGCCAGCUAAUGCCAGGGAACAAGGCUCAAGAGCAUCCAGCCCGGAUAUGGACUUUUUAGAGAUGGAUUUCGAUCCUGGGCCUUCUUGUGAAGUUGAUACAGAUGAUGAAUCAAGCCCUGAUGCUGAUUUAGAAGUGGCAAACAGUUUGCCAGAAGAAAUUGAACCGGUAAUUAGGGGUACCACACCUGAAUAUUUGCCUAAUCCUGUGGUAAAUCCUCAACCAUCUACUAGUUCAGCACAUAAUGACAUUGAAACACAUAGUCUUAGUAUCCCCUCUACAAGUUGUGGACAGGAUUUGCCCCAAAGAAAUUCAGAAGAAAAAGUAACAAGUGAUCAAGAGUAUGGACCAUAUAUUACACAUGUGAACUUUAGGGGUGAGCAGUUUUUAGUCAGAAGGACCAUGUCAAGUUGGCCAAGUAAUACUUUGUCUGGCUUACAUGUGUCUAAUGGAGAUUUGGUAUCCCCAAGAGAAGUAUUAAAUUAUGAAGAAGAUCAUCAUGAUGGAGCACAUACUUAUGAAAUCAAUAAAGGAGAAAGACCAACUGGAGAUUCAGUAAAUAUUCCAACAGCCCUUUACCAUAUCACAAUGGCUAAGAGGCUUAUAAUUCAGAAGACUUGCUCUGAUGUUGAAUGUCAUGAUGAACAUGAUGUGGUAAGUAUAACACACAGUUUAGAGAAAUGAUGCAGCAGUGAUGGCGACACAGGAUGUGUGGAGCCCCCUCAGUGCAUGGUGUGGUCGGAGCGCGAGGCUUGUGAACGACAGGUCACUCAGAUCGGCACAUCUGCUUGUGGGGCAACCGCAGUUGUAAACGUUUUUAUUGCUCUCGGUGUGCCUGUGAACAUUGAACGAAUUAAUGCAGCGGUGGGAACGAGACUAAGGGCGAAUAAUGCGCCUAUACCCAGAUAUUUGCUGUCGCGCGCCGUCGCGGGUUGUACUGCGGCUGACUUGGUGACAGGAAUACAGAGAGCUUCUGAUGGGUUGGUGACCGCUCGGUUCUUUCCUAUGUAUCCAGAACGUGCCAUGUCCCUAUCCCAUUGGCUCGCUGACUGGAUAUCUCUUGGUGCAGUACCAAUAUUGACAUUAAAUCUUCAAGCGGGAUGCGAAGGGGAAAUUCCCGAUGCAUGGCAUCAUCAAAUGGUGUUCGGUGUAUCUCCUCGUGGUAUAUAUCUCUGCAACCCUUGUGAAUGUGUCCCAGAGAGGGCGCUGUGGCCGCGUCUCACCUCGCCCUCGGUGUUGCUAGUGCGGGCCAGAGACAUCAUUGCCAGAUUAACUCCGAAUAUGGAUUUAAGUGUGCUCAUGGCCGUACCGGAUAGAAGGUUUCAUACUUUUAAUGUGCUCGGUCAAGUGGCGAGUGUGAUCCGCGAGUGUCGUGCGCGCGGGUGGACGGAGCAGGGUGCGCGGACUAGACAUGUGCGACUGCCGGCGUCUUACCAGGCCGGUGUCACCGUCGCCGCCCUCACCGGCACCGAGGCUCAUCGCCGGCUCGUACACGCCCCUCUACCACCACAAUGCCGACCUUACUAG